rnacentral:rRNA from 1 species
UCGGCUUAACCCAAGUAGUGCAUUGGAAACUGGGAGACUGGAGUGCAGGAGAGGGGAGUGGAACUCCAUGUGUAGCGGUGAAAUGCGUAGAUAUAUGGAAGAACACCAGUGGCGAAAGCGGCUCUCUGGUCUGUAACUGACGCUGAGGUUCGAAAGCGUGGGUAGCAAAUAGG